rnacentral:rRNA from 1 species
GAUGAACGCUGGCGGCGUGCCUAAUACAUGCAAGUCGAGCGAACAGAUGAGGAGCUUGCUCCUCUGACGUUAGCGGCGGACGGGUGAGUAACACGUGGAUAACCUACCUAUAAGACUGGGAUAACUUCGGGAAACCGGAGCUAAUACCGGAUAAUAUAUUGAACCGCAUGGUUCAAUAGUGAAAGACGGUUUUGCUGUCACUUAUAGAUGGAUCCGCGCCGCAUUAGCUAGUUGGUAAGGUAACGGCUUACCAAGGCAACGAUGCUUAGCCGACCUGAGAGGGUGUUCGGCCACACUGGAACUGAGACACGGUCCAGACUCCUACGGGAGGCGGCAGUAGGGAAUCUUCCGCAAUGGGCGAAAGCUUGACGGAGCAACGCCGCGUGAGUGAUGAAGGUCUUCGGAUCGUAAACCUCUGUUAUUAGGGAAGAACAAAUGUGUAAGUAACUAUGCACGUCUUGACGGUACCUAAUCAGAAAGCCACGGCUAACUACGUG